AAUCCAUAGGUUAAUGAGGCGAACCGGGGGAACUGAAACAUCUAAGUACCCCGAGGAAAAGAAAUCAACCGAGAUUCCCCCAGUAGCGGCGAGCGAACGGGGAGGAGCCCAGAGCCUGAAUCAGCAUGUGUGUUAGUGGAAGCGUCUGGAAAGGCGCGCGAUACAGGGUGACAGCCCCGUACACAAAAGCGCAUGUGCUGUGAGCUCGAUGAGUAGGGCGGGACACGUGGUAUCCUGUCUGAAUAUGGGGGGACCAUCCUCCAAGGCUAAAUACUCCUGACUGACCGAUAGUGAACCAGUACCGUGAGGGAAAGGCGAAAAGAACCCCGGCGAGGGGAGUGAAAAAGAACCUGAAACCGUGUACGUACAAGCAGUGGGAGCACAGGUUUACCUGUGUGACUGCGUACCUUUUGUAUAAUGGGUCAGCGACUUAUAUUCUGUAGCAAGGUUAACCGUAUAGGGGAGCCGAAGGGAAACCGAGUCUUAACCGGGCGUUAAGUUGCAGGGUAUAGACCCGAAACCCGGUGAUCUAGCCAUGGGCAGGUUGAAGGUUGGGUAACACUAACUGGAGGACCGAACCGACUAAU
rnacentral:rRNA from 1 species